rnacentral:misc_RNA from 1 species
AAAGAAGGCCGUUACUGAACCCACUGCUCAGACCUCUGAUGGAAGCGGCGAGAAAUCGUUAGAGCUGGCGGAAGAGUUGCUAGAGAAGGGAUCCAAGGCCAUGAAGGAUGAUGAUUUCAAUGAGGCUGUUGAUUGCUUCAGCCGUGCUCUUGAGAUUAGAGCUGCGCAUUAUGGUGAACUGGCUUCAGAAUGUGUCAAGUUGUACUACAAGUAUGGAUGUGCUUUAUUGUACAAAGCCCAGGAGGAA